ACGCUUCUCCUAAAGACUAAGCCAUGCAUGCUUUCGAAUAAGAGGUAGCAAUUCUCUCUGAAUCUGCGAACGGCUCCGCACACCAGUUGUAAACUAUAGCAAGCAAGUUCGUCUCCGGCCCUCACGGGCCGCUGUCGGGCGAUAAGGAUAACCCUGGUAAUUCUGAGGCUAAUACUAGAUCGUACUCCCUGGCUGACCGGCAACGGAAGGUUGGGGGACGUGUGAAUUAGGCGCAAGAAAAGCCGGGAAAGGAUG
rnacentral:rRNA from 1 species